ACGUACGCUGGCGGCACGCCUAACACAUGCAAGUCGAACGAAGUAGCAAUACUUAGUGGCAGACGGGUGAGUAACAUGUGGGUAUCUGCCCUUUGGCCUGGAAUAACACGAGGAAACUUGUGCUAAUACCGGAUAAGUCUUUACGGAGAAAGCUUUAUGCACCAUUGGAUGAGCCUGCACUUGAUUAGUUUGUUGGUGGGGUAAUGGCCUACCAAGACUGUGAUCAAUAGCUGAUUUGAGAGGAUGAUCAGCCACAUUGGGACUGAGACACGGCCCAAACUCCUACGGGAGGCAGCAGUGGGGAAUCUUGCACAAUGGAGGAAACUCUGAUGCAGCGAUGCCGCGUGAGUGAAGAAGGCCCUUGGGUUGUAAAGCUCUUUCGUCGGGGAAGAAAAUGACUGUACCCGAAUAAGAAGGUCCGGCUAACUUCGUGCCAGCAGCCGCGGUAAUACGAAGGGACCUAGCGUAGUUCGGAAUUACUGGGCUUAAAGAGUUCGUAGGUGGUUGAAAAAGUUAGUGGUGAAAUCCCAGAGCUUAACUCUGGAACUGCCAUUAAAACUUUUCAGCUGGAGUAUGAUAGAGGAAAGCAGAAUUUCUAGUGUAGAGGUGAAAUUCGUAGAUAUUAGAAAGAAUACCAAUUGCGAAGGCAGCUUUCUGGAUCAUUACUGACACUGAGGAACGAAAGCAUGGGUAGCGAAGAGGAUUAGAUACCCUCGUAGUCCAUGCCGUAAACGAUGUGUGUUAGACGUUGGAAAUUUAUUUUCAGUGUCGCAGGGAAACCGAUAAACACACCGCCUGGGGAGUACGACCGCAAGGUUAAAACUCAAAUGAAUUGACGGGGACCCGCACAAGUAGUGGAGCAUGUGGUUUAAUUCGAAGAUACGCGCAGAACCUUACCAACACUUGACAUGUUCGUCGCGACUCUAAGAGAUUAGAGUUUUCGGUUCGGCCGGACGAAACACAGGUGCUGCAUGGCUGUCGUCAGCUCGUGUCGUGAGAUGUUGGGUUAAGUCCCGCAACGAGCGCAACCCUCACUUUUAGUUGCCAUCAUUAAGUUGGGCACUCUGAAAGAACUGCCAGUGAUAAGCUGGAGGAAGGUGGGGAUGACGUCAAGUCCUCAUGGCCCUUACGUGUUGGGCUACACACGUGCUACAAUGGUAUCUACAACAGGAAGCAAGACUGCGAAGUUAAGCAAAUCCCUAAAAGAUACCUCAGUUCGGAUUGCACUCUGCAACUCGAGUGCAUGAAGCUGGAAUUACUAGUAAUCGUGGAUCAGCGUGCCACGGUGAAUGCGUUCCCGGGUCUUGUACUCACCGCC
rnacentral:rRNA from 1 species